UGAUUUGUUAAACAUUAUCUAAUGUCUAAUAAGUUUAUUAGCAAACAUUAACAAGCACAUUAUCUCACGUUUCUAACUAUUUGAAUAUACAGUAUAUUAACUAAUGAUUCAUUAAGCAUUAUAUAAUGUUUGUUAAUGAUUUAUUAAUGUUAUUAAGUUAUUAUAAAGUGUUUCCAACAUUUGUGCAAUAAAUCUACUUAAUUGUAUUUAUCUGUUUCAAACAACCAAUAAGAUAAAGCUCUUUAGAGCUGCUUAAAGUGCAGUUCACACCUUAAAACUGGUACCAGCCAAACUAAAUGACAACAGGGACAUCAUGAGGAGGUUAAGACAGAACACUUACUGAGAAAUGAAUGGAAAUAAUAUGGAGGGAAUCAAAACAAAAUGAUGUAUAUAGGAAAACCAAUCUGCUUUUUGAUAAAACAUCAUCUGUCUGUUUACUCUUAAACAUGCAUGUGCAUUAGCUGUACAAGCCUGAAAACUGCAGUUUUUAGUGUAAUUUGAUGUGAAGAGCCAGGAAGAUGGCAUCCUGUGUGGAACUGUUCACUCUGUAUGCAAAUUGAUAUGGGUCGAGUGAGGGUGGUAUGGUAUGGUACGGCACGGUUCACUUUUGGGGGGUUUUCCACUGGGUACAGUACCUGGUACCUGGUACUUUUUCAGUACCACCUUGGUUGAGGUUCCAAGUGAACCAUACUGUUACCAGAAUAUGACGUGUAAACUCUGCUGAUCACUGAUUGGCCGGAGAGUAUCAUCACUACCUGCGUCACUGAACUUGCGACACGAGACACAGCAGAACCGUUAGAUUUAAAUCACCACAGCCAGUUUCGUUGUCUGUUGAGGAACCACAGAUGUUCAUCUUGUUGAUACCAGAGGAGCGGAUCCAGCGAGAGCUUGAUGGGGCGACGCAGAAUGAAAAAGUUUUUUAGGAGUUGCAUACCACUUGGGAACAGAAAAAGCAUGAGAGAGAAGGGGUGGAGUACCACUUUGACUCCAAACACACUUUUGAAAAAGAUAUUCUCAACCACAAGUAAGCUAAACACCCCUUAAUGGUACCCAGCCCAUGUUGUAGUUUAUUCUAGAGGCUAGUUUUGGGUUGUGUUGAUUUAAUUGCUAAACCUCUUUUGUCUAGUCAGCAAGAAGUUUUCAGUUAUGGAUAAGAGUUUGUUAAUACAGAUUUAAGAUUAAAAAAAUACAUAUUUUAAAAUGAAAUAACAGUUCUACGAAUCUGCCACUUAAUGAUAACCUUGUUUUUAAUAAAAAAUUAUUUAAAAUCAUGACUUUAAAUCAUGGGUUUAUAAGAAGCCUAUACUGCUCAUGGAAUAUUAAAUCACACAUUUUAAUCCUUGUUUUAAUGUUGAAAACGCAGAUCACAUCCAUUGACAGGAAAUACUCUCUUUCUCCAAUUUUCACUCAAAAGUGAGAGGAAAUCUCAAAAGCAUCUGUUCAUGAACAGUGUCACAUUAUAUUAAACUAGGGGGAUAUUUUAAGAGCCCUCUGUGGUUUGAAAUGACUUUUUGUCUUGUUAGUCGGACAUAGGGAAAGAAGUUAAGGCAAGUGAGACAGGAAUGACGGAGAGCAGACAGCCCAACUUUCCAGAGUGGAGCACUAGAGAAAGGAAAAGCAGACUGCUUUUUGCAUCACACCACUGAAUUACCAUCAACUUUGAUGACCAUACAAAUGCCUUGAAGCCAAAGGCUAAAGAAGUUACUUCCAGAACUCAGCAGUAGGAACCUAUCUCUUCUUCAGUAAAACCAUCAACUAGGCAAAUGAUUUCAAAAUUAGAAAAGGAUUCUGGGUUUAAAUCACUAAACAGUUGUUCUACUUCUGCGUGUGGUAUUUUAGUGCAAAACCCUAUAACCCAAUGCCCAGGUGCAUAAUUAAAUCAAAUCAUUAUAUAAUCAGCAUAAACUUUUAUGUAAAUUUUUUUCAUCAUAUAUUAUUCACAAAACUUCGGUAUGUGCAAUUACAUUACACCAUUACCGCCAAUGAAAAGCAGGUGGUAAAUUAAAUUUUAUGAUAAUGAAUGUAUGCUAGAUUGUUGUAGUCUGCCACUGUAAGUCCUCUACAACCAAGCACUCUGUCCUGCAAAUUGGCUAUUUCUAUUGUCACUAGAUUCAAGUGUUAACCAACUAGCAGGAUGUACAAAUAAAUGGUGCUAUCAGUGGACAUAAUGCAUUCUUAGUGAAAGUAGUGCAGCUUUUAAACUUUUAAAAAAUGAGCACGAAAUUAUUUAGCUAAAAUACUAAGCACCUUUUUACAGUAAGCCAUUAAUCAAGUAAUCACAUAGAUUAAUCAAAACUAAAAUGUAUGCAUGUCUUCUUUAAAAAUCUGACACUUACAAUAUGUUCCUUGAUGCUAAAUUAAUUAAUCUUGUGAUUUUCCUGUGAGAAGAGCCAAACCAAUUUAUUAAACAUGAUUUUCUUUCAAAUUUAACCACAGUGUGUCAGCCAUUGAUAGUUUGGAGCAUUCCAUUAAGCCGCUCUUUUACUGCAAAUAUUUUCAAUUAAGCCAAGAGUUUACUGCUUUCAAAUAGCACAUAUACUGUACAGUGCAUGCUGCAGCAACUGGUUGAAUAUGUUAAUAAGACAAUGAUGUCAGUGAUGUAUAACAGCAAAUUGGAAUACAUCACCUAGAUUUAUGUUGGAAUGCUCAAAAUUUUAAUUUAUUUACAAAUGAUUUAUGGCCAUCCUGUUAUUUAUCAGAAAUUUUCAUAACUUCUUAUUAACAGUGGGGUUUAAAUUACGAAAAAUCUUUCAUGUAGAUUUUUGGAGUAUGGUAAAUAUAAAUGGAACUACUACGGUAUGAGUCUGGAUUCAGUGCGCAGGGUUAUAGCGGAGAGCAAGGUGUGCCUACUGGAUGUGAAGACACACGUGAGUAAAAAAUCAUCUCUCUCUACAGAAGCAUGAGCGAACAAGAGAAACAGGGAUAAAAAGCAAGUGAGCAAGAGCCAGGGAGUCCUAUAUUACAUGUCAUAUUUGUUGACUUUGGAACACAGACUCAAGGGCAGGAAUUAUGUCAUUCUGGACGGGGAGAUUCUGCCAGCUCCACUCCAGCUGGUACAUUUCCUGUGGUCUGAUUAUUUUUUCAUCAGCUUGUAACAUUUAUAGAAACAUUCUCACUGUAUUAACGAACAUACUAUGGCCACACAUUUAAAUUUAUGCAGAGUUGAUGCUGCUGGCCUAAUAUCUAAAGUCAUAGAAAAUGGUUUGAAA
ensembl:lncRNA